UGGUUUUGAGAGGGUAGGGAAACUGUGAAGAUCAAUCGCGGUGUGAAGCUAAAGCUAAAGCAAAAGAAAUUUGAGAAUGGACGUGAUAAAGACUCAGCAAAUACAGUCGAGGCCAAUCGAGAAGGUGAUAGUGCAUCCACUGGUUCUACUGAGCAUCGUCGAUAACUACACUCGAGUCGCCAAGGACACUCACAGGCGAGUCAUUGGGGUUUUACUCGGUAGCUCUUUUAAAGGCACGGUCGAUGUCACCAACAGCUACGCAGUGCCCUUUGAAGAAGAAGACAAGGACCCAAGUAUAUGGUUUCUUGACCACAACUACCAUGAAUCUAUGUUUUCAAUGUUCAAAAGAAUAAAUGCCAAGGAGCAUGUAGUAGGUUGGUAUAGUACAGGCCCAAAGCUACGGGAGAAUGACCUAGAUAUUCACCAGUUAUUCCACAACUAUGUCCAAAAUCCUGUCUUGGUCAUUAUUGAUGUUCAGCCUAAGGAGUUGGGAAUACCCACCAAGGCCUACUAUGAUGUUGAAGAGGUUAAAGAGAAUGCUACGCAAAAGAGCCAGAAGGUUUUUGUUCAUGUGCCUUCAGAAAUUGCAGCUCAUGAGGUUGAGGAGAUUGGAGUUGAACACUUACUACGGGAUGUGAAGGACACAACCAUCAGCACACUUGCAACUGAGGUUACGGGUAAACUUACAGCCUUGAAGGGUUUGGAUGCACGCCUACGAGAAAUACGAGGCUAUCUUGAUCUUGUCAUUGAUGGAAAGCUACCAUUGAAUCAUGAGAUACUCUACCAUUUACAGGAUGUGUUCAACCUACUGCCAAAUCUUAAUGUGACUGAGUUGAUCAAGGCUUUUGCUGUGAAAACAAAUGAUAUGAUGUUGGUUACAUAUCUAUCAUCUCUCAUUCGAAGCGUCAUAGCACUCCACAACUUGAUUAAUAAUAAGAUGCUCAACAAAGAACACGAGAAAGCGGAGGAUGCAAAACCAGCAGCAAUCCCAGCUGCCAAUGGAAGCUGAAAAUCUAUUCUUCAGGGUUUGGGACUCCAGUCAUGACAGCUCCUCCAGAGCGAGUGGACUAGCUUAUGGUGUAAGACAUUUGAGGCAAUUUUGUGUCAGUAGUAAAAUACUAGAAUGAAAGAUGACAAAGCCCUCUAGAGACCUUGAUUUGUGAGAUGGCAGUAAUGAAAUGUGUUCUGCGAAGCAUUGUAAACCAUUCUAAAUUGAAAUCAACUUUCCAAUACAUUUUGUUUAGUUGCUGGAAU
rnacentral:misc_RNA from 1 species